UACAGAGGGUGCGAGCGUUAAUCGGAAUUAUUGGGCGUAAAGAGCUCGUAGGCGGUUCGUCGCGUCGGCUGUGAAAUCCCGAGGCUCAACCUCGGGUCUGCAGUCGAUACGGGCGGGCUAGGAUUCGGUAGGGGAGACUGGAAUUCCUGGUGUAGCGGUGAAAUGCGCAGAUAUCAGGAGGAACACCGGUGGCGAAGGCGGGUCUCUGGGCCGAUAUCGACGCUGAGGAGCGAAAGCGUGGGGAGCGAACAGG
rnacentral:rRNA from 1 species